CGGAACACGUUUGAAAUCUGCCUUAAACAGGGGAUAGCCCGCCGAAAGGCGGAUUAAUACCGCAUAUGCCGAUGACCUGGCAUCAGGUAGUCGGGAAAGGAGCAAUCCGGUUUGAGAUGAUCAUGCGUCUGAUUAGCUAGUUGGCGGGGUAGAAGCCCACCAAGGCGACGAUCAGUAGGGGACCUGAGAGGGCGAUCCCCCACACGGACACUGAGAUACGGGUCCG
rnacentral:rRNA from 1 species